UACGUAUGGAGCAAGCGUUAUCCGGAUUUACUGGGUGUAAAGGGAGUGUAGGUGGCCAUGCAAGUCAGAAGUGAAAAUCCGGGGCUCAACCCCGGAACUGCUUUUGAAACUGUGAGGCUAGAGUGCAGGAGGGGUGAGUGGAAUUCCUAGUGUAGCGGUGAAAUGCGUAGAUAUUAGGAGGAACACCAGUGGCGAAGGCGGCUCACUGGACUGUAACUGACACUGAGGCUCGAAAGCGUGGGGAGCAAACAGG
rnacentral:rRNA from 2 species